AAGACUAUACUUUCAGGGAUCACUUCUAUAGUAUGUGACUAGAGAAGUUUCUCUGAUCAUGUAGAGCACCCGAAACCACGAGGAGGAGCCAGACUGUCCUCUUCUGAGCAUCAAGUUGGUUGGUUGUAGGUGUUGCUUCUGUGACUGCCUUUGGCCAUUGGUGAUCAUUCUUCCCUUCCUUUGGAGAGGGAGAGGAUGCAGUCUGAAAGGU